rnacentral:rRNA from 1 species
GUGCCAGCAGCCGCGGUAAUACGAAGGCCCCUAGCGUUGUUCGGAAUUACUGGGCGUAAAGCGCUCGUAGGCGGCCUUGUAAGUUGGGGGUGAAAUCGGGGGGCUCAACCCCGGAACUGCCUCCAAAACUACAAAGCUAGAGGAUGCGAGAGGAUAGUGGAAUUCCGAGUGUAGAGGUGAAAUUCGUAGAUAUUCGGAAGAACACCAGUGGCGAAGGCGACUGUCUGGCGCAUAUCUGACGCUGAGGUGCGAAAGCGUGGGGAGCAAACAGGAUUAGAAACCCUUGUAGUC